GUGUAUGAGGUAUUCAGGGAGGACUAGCGCCUCUGUGAGGGCUUGCUGAAUCCUUUUCAGGGCUGCUCAUUCACCUUUCCCCCAACUCUCACCUGUGGCUCCAAGAAGCUGUAGCUUGUGCAGCAGCUAUACCCUGAUAACAAUUGUCUUGCAUAAGAGCUAAGCCAGGUUGAGGGUAACUGACAGACCUCAAAUCCAUUUGUGAGUUAGGGGGAUGUCUACCCUAAGCAUGCGAAGACUUCUUCCAGCAGAAUAGGCAAAGGAGAACACCUUCUUCCAAUAGCCGUGAAGGAGGCUGAAGCAGGCACUGUGGAACGCUUAGAGCUUGGUCAGACAUCAAAGAUGCCAAGAUUAUCCACCGCAUCCCGAGCCCUCCCCAGUCAUCUUGACUUUUCUCUUGCCACUAGACUUAGAUGACUGGAAGAGCGAGUAAAGCUGAUGACUUUGUGCAAUUCUGCCUCACUUCAAUACAAUUCAAGUCAAGACAUCCCCCAUGAUGUCACUGGUCUUCUUCGAAAACAAAGGAUGAAAAACUAACUCAGGGAAUGGAGGAGACAUCAUGUUUAUGAGAGAUACAAGAAAUUCAAAGUGGCACAAAAUGAAUCUUAAAUGAAAAUUGAUUGAGGAUUUGAAGCCUACUAGUUGGCUCUUAAAAACUAAUCUUAGCACAUUGGCCCUAAUGGGAGAGGAGGUCAUAGAAAGUAGAGACUGUUUAUUGAAUUCUCAUCCCUCCACUGGCCCCUACUGGCACAACAUGAUACUAGAGCUAUUGGAAGAUAAAAUACGUUCCCUGGGCAAACUCUCCAUCUGGCAGAUUCAGCUGAGGCUGAAGGAGAAACAAAUAUCGACAGAUAAGGCAAAGGAUAUUGGGAGUCAUGAAGGUUGAGGCUACUCUGUCUCUUUAAGAAGUAUGCUUGUGAUUUCACAGACUGUAAGUAAAUCUUGGACUUAUUAAGAGUAACUCUGUGGUGGGAUCAUUGCCUCAGGAAAGUGGGAUGGGGUGUGUACCUUAGAGUGAACUACAAAAAGGGAAAUAGGAUGGCUAAGGAUGGGAUCAUCCUGCUUUGACCAUAAGAUUGUUAUGCGUUUUGUAAAUUACAAUGGCGUCCUUAGAGAUGGAGAUGAGAGUUGGCCACUCUAGUUUCCAAAUCGGAAGAAAGUUAUCAGAGGACUUGGGGAUACCACAUAUU
rnacentral:lncRNA from 1 species